rnacentral:rRNA from 1 species
UACGGAGGGUGCAAGCGUUGUCCGGAUUUAUUGGGUUUAAAGGGUGCGUAGGUGGUUUGAUAAGUCUGACCUGAAAGUGGGCCGCUUAACGGCACAGGGUGGUUGGAUACUGUUAAACUUGAAGAGGGUGGAGGCCGCCGGAACGGAUCGUGUAGCGGUGAAAUGCAUAGAGAUGAUCCAGAACCCCGAUUGCGAAGGCAGGCGGCUACGCCCCACUUGACACUGAGGCACGGGAGCAUGGGGAGCAAACAGG